rnacentral:rRNA from 1 species
AUACGUAGGGCGCGAGCGUUGUCCGGAAUUACUGGGUGUAAAGGGAGCGUAGGCGGGAGUGCGAGUCAGAUGUGAAAUGCAUGGGCUCAACCCAUGGGCUGCAUUUGAAACUGCAUUUCUUGAGUGAAGUAGAGGUAAGCGGAAUUCCUGGUGUAGCGGUGAAAUGCGUAGAGAUCGGGAGGAACACCAGUGGCGAAGGCGGGUAACUGGGCUGCAACUGACGCUGAGGCGCGAAAGUGUGGGGAGCAAACAGGAUUAGAUACCCUGGUAGUCCACGCUGUAAACGAUGAAUGCUAGGUGUAAGAGGUAUCGACCCCUUUUGUGCCGGAGUCAACACAAUAAGCAUUCCGCCUGGGGAGUACGGCCGCAAGGUUGAAACUCAAAGGAAUUGACGGGG